rnacentral:rRNA from 1 species
ACAGGGAUUGCCUCAGUAACGGCGAGUGAAGCGGCAACAGCUCAAAUUUGAAAUCUGGCCUCACGGUCCGAGUUGUAAUUUGUAGAGGAUGCUUCGAGCAUGGUCUGGCCUAAGUUCCUUGGAACAGGACGUCAUAGAGGGUGAGAAUCCCGUAUGCGGCCAGGUGCCUACGCUCAUGUGAAGCUCCUUCGACGAGUCGAGUUGUUUGGGAAUGCAGCUCAAAAUGGGUGGUAAAUUUCAUCUAAAGCUAAAUAUUGGCCAGAGACCGAUAGCGCACAAGUAGAGUGAUCGAAAGAUGAAAAGCACUUUGGAAAGAGAGUUAAACAGUACGUGAAAUUGUUGAAAGGGAAGCGCUUGCAACCAGACUUGCGUGCGGCCGAUCAUCCGGUGUUCUCACCGGUGCACUCGGUCGCGCUCAGGCCAGCAUCGGUUUUGGUGGUUGGAUAAAGGCCCUAGGAAUGUAGCUUCUCUCGGGGAGUGUUAUAGCCUAGGGUGCAAUGCAGCCCACCGGGACCGAGGACCGCGCUUCGGCUAGGAUGCUGGCGUAAUGGUUGUAAGCGACCCGUCUUGAAACACGGACCAAGGAGUCUAACAUCUAUGCGAGUGUUUGGGUGUCAAACCCAUACGCGUAAUGAAAGUGAACGGAGGUGAGAACCCUUAAGGGUGCAUCAUCGACCGAUCCUGAUGUCUUCGGAUGGAUUUGAGUAAGAGCAUAGCUGUUGGGACCCGAAAGAUGGUGAACUAUGCCUGAAUAGGGUGAAGCCAGAGGAAACUCUGGUGGAGGCUCGCAGCGGUUCUGACGUGCAAAUCGAUCGUCAAAUUUGGGCAUAGGGGCGAAAGACUAAUCGAACCAUCUAGUAG